rnacentral:rRNA from 1 species
GAAAAGAUGCCAGUCAAAUCAAGUCGAAGUUUCUUCUCUCGUGUUUCGAAUAGAGUUGGAACCUUUUCAAUGGAAGCAGAGAGGUGGUGGGUGGGGGCAGGCGUGCUCCUCGAGGAGGAGGCGGCGGCGGCUGCGUGGUGCGCGCAGCGGCGAGGGGAAGAGCAGCGCAGGGAUGGAGGCGUUAGAGGCCUUGGGGCCAGAAGCUCUAAAGUAGUACGAGAGGAACUCCACAACCCGCGGGCGUAAGCCAAAUCGCAAGCUCUCUUGGCAGCGAGACGCGGGCGCUUUCAAGUUGAGAGAUCACCAAACGCCACGGUCCCCAGGCUCCGGCUCUAUAGGAGCGCACACCUUUUGCCUAUUCUCUUAGCCCUGGCAAAGGUUCAGCGUCUUCGAACAGUUUACAUAAUUCCCAAACAGAUUGCAUUUCCUCCUCCAAAUACCACGAGAACUAAGCAAACAACGUACCCUUGACCUCAAAGGGAACUAUCGCCAUUUCUUUCGUGACUUCUGCGAACUUCUACUCUUCCUUACCUUUUCUUAUUAAGUCCAAUAGUUCACCUACAAGUUAUUUCCAGUUCCCUUCUGGUACCCUUCGAUAGUUUGAAAUAAUUUACGAAAUCAGCUCCUACCUGCUUAACUCCUUCGUCUUCUCGAUAAAGUUUUCUAUAAGAGUUCUAUGUACCUCCCAAACGGGGCAUAAAAAAAGUACUUUUAUUAGAGGAACAUAAUGUCUAACCCCAGUAUGCUCUUCUACAAACUCCAAAAACGACUAUACCUUCUCGACCCACAAGCUGGACUAUGGAGCUAACAGUCCUACGAGCCACUACAUAAAUACUUCGAUCUCUACAACCUGUUUAUGCUUUUCAAUUUAUCCUUUAUAGGUGGCGGUUUUAAACUUAUAGCUAUGUAGUUUCCGUUCGCGUAUUCCUAUUCCCAAAUAGGUCUGUUAUCAUGGCUUCUCCAUUGUGUCUCUCUGAGACCGUCUCUACUUGACCUUCUGCGUCCUUCGUACUUAGGACUGUUACUUAACCUUCUUCGCGGUUCUUGUCCGGACCUGUCCUUACAUAAUCCGCUGUGCCGAAGACCUCUGGAACUUAAACAUAUCGAGUCUCGAAUUUAAACCACGAAAGCACGGACGAAGCAGUUUCGUCCAUUCCCAUUUUAACCGACCAAUCGAACCAGAUCAAAAGAAAGUACCUUGGAAUUUUACGACUUGAUCUUGUACAGACUUAAUAAGGUAGAACUUUAACCCUCUGCAGUUAUGUAGUAUAGUACUACAACCUUUCUUUUGUUUAUUAAUAAUAAAGUGCUCAGAGAAAGUUCGUCGGUUCGUUUCUUCAGUACUUUAUACAAACUGUUACAUCACAUACCCCACAAAUUGUACCUUAAUCUCUUACAUCUUACAUUUCCUAACCUAGUUUUUAAUACAGAUGUCACAUUGACACACUCCACAAACUGUCCCUUAAAUACUUAGAGCACAAACUAGACUUGUUUUUUCAAAGAAGUCUCAUAGCUGAGACGAACCACCAAAUGAUUUAGUAGUAAGUGAGACGAACGUAUAAUAAGUACGAAGUAGGUUUACGAAGAUAGUAUACACUUACAAAGACGGGAAAGAGGUCACACGACGUUGUACAAGAUACAUUAGAUCGUUAAAUCUGGCUGGGACGGUUUAAACCUUUACCUCUAGAGUAGAGGGACUUUACUAUACCAUACAAGAGGACUACUGGACUAUCGAGUAAAGGUCCUGUCCGAAACAAACUUAAAGAAUUUUUUAUUAGUACAAACCGUACUCCGUCCUAUGUCAGCGGCUGCUAGAAACGGUACGGCACGGCGUAGGUCGUUCCCAGUAAGACCUUAGACCUAUCGCUCCGGUCCUGCUUCCGCCUACCAAGAGACUGUGUUUUAGUACAUGUUCAUAAUAAGACAUCGUGAUCGUUGUCGUAAUCCGUCAUCACAAAGUGACCUUACCUUACCAACAUGAUAUUUCAUCUUUGGAAUCGCGGACAAAACCUGAACGUUACUUAGUCAUAGUAAUGAGGUUAAAAGGGACAAAAGUUCCAGACCAGAAAAAAAAAACAGUUAAACAUAUCUUUGUUUGACAAAGUGCAUUUUAGGGAAGCAAGGUUUGUCCUGAGACCGACAAGACAGACCUUAAAGUACCUAGUAAC